rnacentral:rRNA from 1 species
UACGGAGGGGGCUAGCGUUGUUCGGAAUUACUGGGCGUAAAGCGCGCGUAGGCGGAUCGGAAAGUUGGGGGUGAAAUCCCGGGGCUCAACCUCGGAACUGCCUUCAAAACUAUCGGUCUGGAGUUCGAGAGAGGUGAGUGGAAUUCCGAGUGUAGAGGUGAAAUUCGUAGAUAUUCGGAGGAACACCAGUGGCGAAGGCGGCUCACUGGCUCGAUACUGACGCUGAGGUGCGAAAGCGUGGGGAGCAAACAGG